UUCCCGCCCCUCGGCCAUCGCCCCGCCCCCUAACCGUACUCUUCCCUCCUAAGGCCCCGCCCCAAACACUGGCCCCGCCCCGUUUUCCAGGAGGCCCCGCCCCAUUUCUCAGCGCUCGCCCUGUGUCGCGGCGCCAGCUGCUUGCUCUCGGUGUGAACUGAAGCUAGAGGGCGACAAUCCCCAGCCGUCGCCGUUCCUCCGCCUGCCCUCGCGGGGGCGCCGCGGCCCGCUCCUCGCGGGCGGUGCAGGGUUACGGGGGCCACCACCUGUCGGGGUUCAGUGACCCGUGGGCUGAGCCUGCGUAAUUCAACCACCGAAUCCAAGACAGUAGCUGACGUCCUCUGCCCUGAGGAAAUGAAAGUUUGCUUGGUCAGGAAGCAGGAACAGUAGUGACAUUUCCGUGUUGGUGAUAAAAGAGUAAUGUCUGGGGCUGAGCUGUGGAAGAGCACAGAUUGGCCCAGGGCAGCAGCAAGUGAGGGAGCAGCGGGCGCCCAGCACAUGAAGUCACGACACAGCUUGGACCCUUAGCUGGCACAUUUGCUCUGCCAUCUGACACUACGCCUUUGGAUUCUCUGGGUCACUGUUGUCCCCAGCCAGCCGGGCCACCUGGGGUCCUUGUUCCCAAAUGAAGACAAUAAGAAGCUCUGAAGAACAAGGGGAUGGAGAGGGCAGUAAGCCCUGCUGUUACAGCUGUGGAUUAGCAGGUGGUCCAUCUACGACGAUAACACGGCAGACACUCGAUGCCUUGUCAGUCAGCAUUGCCUCUUUUAGCUGAGAAGCUAGCAGUAGCCAGAAAGCCUCAUGACAUAGCCUCGUGGCUGGACACAUUGGUCACAAAGUCUAAUUACAGAAGUCCUCUUUGAUAGAA